CUUUCUCUCUCACAUCUCACACAUCUCACACAUCUCACAAGCUUCAUCAAACCUUCUCUCUCGGGCGACUCAAGAACAUCAUCCACCUUUGUCUCUCACAUCUCACACUUGAUUCCAAAUUUUAAGCAAGUAAAGGGUGUAGCAACAUCAGUCCCUAUCAGUACCAUCUACCGUCGGAUUUCAUAUAGAUUUGUAGGCGGAUAUGUUUAACAGUGAUGAUUUGGGUUCUGAUUUGUGACUGCAGGGUUUGAUAAGUGGAGAUUCCGGUGGUGGAAGCUUUGAAGAUCGACAGUGACAAAGGCGGUUAGGGUUCCGGCCGCGAAACCGGCUUUCUGGGGUUUAAUCAUUGAUGUUCAUCAUUCGGAUCUCCAACGAGGAUCUAUGACUGUAGAUUAUUAAAAAUUUGUUCCAGCAAUCUACACAGUGUUUAACUGUCUUAGGUGGUAAGCUGGUUUAUCAGACCAAAAUGAGGGCAACUGGACCUAAAUGUCUUGUUACUUUGGAGAGGAUCCAAGGGAUAUGAUUGUUUCUUUUAGUUUAAUGUCAUCAGAUUUGCAUAAUUUAAACAGUAUUAUAUACAACCAUGAUAUAUUGCUAAGACCAUAUGCCUAUGAUUGAGUGAUUAUUUGAUUUAAAUCAAGUGUUUGGAUCAAUUUUAAUAUAGGGAAGUCUAUUGUCUUUUUUGAGUUUACUGGUUUCAAUUUAAUGUGGAGAUUAAUUUGUAUUAGAAAUUGAAAAAGGGCUAAAAGAAAGAGCUUUUAAAUUAUUGUUGUUAUUAAGAUUGUUAUGUUCUACAAAGGGAAAAAACAUUUAACUUAUUAUUGGUUGUAUCUUGUGGCUUCAUGAGUACGUAUCCGGUACUUUUUGUCUGUUCAUAAAGCUUAAAAUUAUAGCUUCUAACCUAUCUUCUUCUUCUUCUUCUUUUUUUCAUUUCAUACAUUUAUAUUGGAUUCUUUGUACUCAUUGGUUUCAAGUGGAAAUCAUGAUGAUACAAACAAUGCCUUUCAACAAAGUCAUGUGUAGUAUAACCAUUAUAAAUAAGCAUAUGUGAAGAAUAAUCGUUUUAUCGUGGACUGUUGUUCGUGAGAAUAAACUUGAAAUGUGUUUUAAGUAGUCCUCAAACUUUUUACAUUUUUGGCAACUUGAAAUGAGUCAAGCAGUGGUUGGUAAGUAUGGGGUUUUCUUGCUGAAUUCAUGUGGGGUUUUAAGUGUAUUUCGCUAAAUCUUGUUGCAGGUUGAAUUGGGUAUCUGCUAAGCAAACUAUAUGUUAAGCCUGUUGCGUAAGCUGGAAUUGGCACUGUGGCUUCUGGAGUUGCAAAGGGUAAUGCUUAUAUCAUACAGGUGCUUGAUUUUGUUCUAUCAAUGGGUGGGUUGGCAAGUAAAUGUGCUAAGUUAUGUUGGGUCGGGUCAGGUAGAGUUGGGUUGACUUCAAUUAGGGCAUUUCAGAUUGGGUUGACCCACAUAUACUUUUUGUUCAUCUCAUGUCUUUUUCAGUUUAUGUGUAUUAAAUAUGAUUAGAAAAGAUAUUAUUACAAUAAUAAUUCUCAGUUUGUAUGUUUUUUAAUAAAACAGAUUAGUAGGUUAUAUGCUUUUAAAAAGAGCCUGGUCAUGCUUGCUUACCUAUAUUCAAGAAGUAAAAUUCAUGCAAAAUAUAUGUUUAAAAAGUAAAACUUAAGAAGCCAGGUCUCCUUAACUUGUGAAAGGCCCUACAAUGGCCCUUUUUCACAUCUCUGAUUAUAGAUUUGAAUUGUUCUGAAAUUAAGUUUACAUAUAUUUAAUAUUUUUUUUUGUUUAUUUACCAUUAUUAUUGAAUGUUCUAAAAAUAAUGGCCAGAAUCCGAACUUAGAAGUAAGUGGAAUUCCUCUGCAUCCUCCUAAAAAACCAGAGAAACAUCAAGAAAACGCAGACUCAAGAAAAAGGUUUCUUGAAUCAUCAAAAUAGUAGCAUUUUUUCUAUUUUUAAUCACUCUAAAUUCACGUGUUCAACUCCGUGUUUCACCAUCACUAAAAUUAAGGCUAGCUCAACUUGAACAUAUCUUCAACGUUCUGGAUCAUAGGUUUUUAUUUAUAUUUUCUGUCAAUGUGUGUGUAGUGUUUGUGUUUGGAAUUGAAUUGUAUACUUUAACACAUAAAUAGUUUGUAUACUUCUAAGUUUUUUUACAUAAGUUAGUUCUAAACCGAGACGAUUACAGACAAAUGAGAAAAAACGGAUGCACAAGGCUAUUAUUUUGUUGCUGUGAAAUUGAGUCUCAUAAGUAAUGUCAUAUAAGUUAGUUUUCUUACAUCAUGAAUGGUUAAUUCUAUUUUUUAUGCAGAUAUCAGACCGGACUUGAGGUUGGCCAUACUUUGGUCUGAGAAGAUUUACAAGUUGGCUUUAAUUGUGUUUUCAAAUUCGACGCACCUGUGUUACAUAUCACCUCUUUUACCCUUUGGAUAAAAAUACCUUAAGCGCCCAUAUAUAAAUCCACUCGACUACUAACUUCAUCUGUUGGGAACUUUCUUUUAUCAUUUGUGUUAUAUCAAUUUCUCUAAGUUUAAUUUUCUUUUGUACAUUUAGGAACCGGAAGAACCUCCACACCAAGUUCUUGUCUUCUUACGUGUUGUAUUUUUGCUUCUGUAAUGUCGCUGGUUUUUUCUGUACAUAGUAACUGGUAUGUUUAUUGUCUUCUUACGUUUUGUAUUUUUGCUUCUGUACACGAGCUUGCGAGAGGAAGUUGAUUCUAAAGGCUAAUGUUUCUUUUAAUGUGGAGUCCUCGCGGACGUUCACUUUCUGUUUGUUAAUCGACAUAUGACGUAAGUGAUUGUCCCUGUCCGCAUACUUCUGACUACGCUCAUGUCAUUAGACAGACUACAUCACUUUUGGGAAGCUUGGCUAAAUGAUCUCAUUCUGUUCUACCCACGAUUCCCUAAAUAGAAACCAACCAAAGUAGGAAUAUCUCCUCAUAUGGUGUGUAAAUUAGAGGAAAUCAUAUUUUUUGUAUCAAUCUCUGUACUCUCUAUGCUAAAUUGUAAUUUAAAAGACUUAAUUUAUUUGGGUAUGUUUA